GUGCUUAACACAUGCAAGUCGAACGGAAAGGCCCCUUCGGGGGUACUCGAGUGGCGAACGGGUGAGUAACACGUGGGUGAUCUACCCUGCACUUCGGGAUAAGCCUGGGAAACUGGGUCUAAUACCGGAUAGGACCAUGAGAUGCAUGUCUUAUGGUGGAAAGCUUUUGCGGUGUGGGAUGGGCCCGCGGCCUAUCAGCUUGUUGGUGGGGUGACGGCCUACCAAGGCGACGACGGGUAGCCGGCCUGAGAGGGUGUCCGGCCACACUGGGACUGAGAUACGGCCCAGACUCCUACGGGAGGCAGCAGUGGGGAAUAUUGCACAAUGGGCGCAAGCCUGAUGCAGCGACGCCGCGUGGGGGAUGACGGCCUUCGGGUUGUAAACCUCUUUCAGCAGGGACGAAGCGCAAGUGACGGUACCUGCAGAAGAAGCACCGGCCAACUACGUGCCAGCAGCCGCGGUAAUACGUAGGGUGCGAGCGUUGUCCGGAAUUACUGGGCGUAAAGAGCUCGUAGGUGGUUUGUCGCGUUGUUCGUGAAAUC
rnacentral:rRNA from 1 species